AAAUUGCAUUUUUAAGAAAUUAGGAAUCUUAAGUACUGAGGGAGUUGGCAAAACAAUGUGAUAACCCUGUGGGAUCCAUUUCAGCUGUUUAAAUUCAAAACUAAUGCUGUAAUCAGUUACUGAUGUUAUGUGAUAAAUCUACAUUUAAAGGGCCACUGAUUCCUCAGAAAAUUCUCAACUACUUGUUUAGAAGUUUGCAUAUAUGAUUUGAGGUUGUUUUUUUGUUUGGUCGCUAGGGCAAUUUGGUUAAGUGGACUGAAAUUAAAAAACUCAGUGUAGCCUUGGAUAAGUCUUUUUAAAGGUGAAAUGCAAAGCCAAACUUUAUCCGAUUUGUUCCUUUACUACUUUUCUGUGAUGCAGACAGGCUUGAGGUUUUUUUUUUUUUAAAUGUCUUUUAUAUAAAUGUUAGAUCCUUAUUUCCUUCUCUGGUGGAGGAUCUGAAGAGUGAUGUCAUACACAACUGAGCUGCCUCACUUCCUCCUCCAGAGGAAGGAAAUGGUUUUCUAAACUUUAGAGAGAUUAGGGAAUGUUACAGCUCUGGGGUCAACUGCAUGCCUAUGUUCUCCAACAAAGAGGGAAGCAAAGAUUUUUAAAUUUCAAAUGUAAAAAAUGUUAACUGAGGUCAAUUAUGUAUCUAGAACUAGUAAAAGGCUUAACCUCCGUCUCAGUUUUCCUUGGGUAAAACAGGAAUAUUUAUCUUCCUCACAGGAGUGUUAAGAAUGUUUGCAAAGGUGAUUUGAAGAUGUAAAGCACAAUACAAUUGUUAACCACCAGUUCCCAUAAUUUUUGAUCUAUUAGCAGUCCUUUAACAUUUGUUAAUUUAUGGGAGGAGGGGCAUAUCAUUUUCAUAAACUUGAAAUAACACACAGCCCCCUCUGCACACUGUGCAUUACAAACCUGGAGGUCUGUGCCCCACAACUUUUUUUUUUUUACAAUCUAAUGCCCUAAGCCUACAAUCAGGGGCCUGCUCUGCCUCAGUGAAGUCUGCCAGGUCCCAGGAGCGUGCAGAAGUCGCUGCUAGCGGAUCCUGUUGUGGGAGUGGGCCCCAAACAGCUACAACCCAAAAAGUUACCCAGAGCGGCAGCAGACAGCAGCGGAGAGGAGUGGACAAGGUCGCAGCAGUGGCAAAGGGCCGCCUCCGCCUGCAGUAAGUACAUAUUUCAUUGUUUCUCAUAGUACUGUCUUGAUUUGCAUGGAAAUUUAAUAUCUAAUAACUUGAAAAUUUCAAUUCUUGUUUCAGGGAAAUAAACUUAAAUCUCUAAUUUCGGUUCA
rnacentral:lncRNA from 1 species